AUUGAACGCUGGCGGCAUGCCUUACACAUGCAAGUCGAACGGUAACGGGCCUUCGGGUGCCGACGAGUGGCGAACGGGUGAGUAAUGUAUCGGAACGUACCUUUCAGUGGGGGAUAACGUAGCGAAAGUUACGCUAAUACCGCAUAUUCUGUGAGCAGGAAAGCAGGGGAUCGCAAGACCUUGCGCUGAUUGAGCGGCCGAUAUCAGACUAGCUAGUUGGUGAGGUAAAGGCUCACCAAGGCGACGAUCUGUAGCGGGUCUGAGAGGAUGAUCCGCCACACUGGAACUGAGACACGGUCCAGACUCCUACGGGAGGCAGCAGUGGGGAAUUUUGGACAAUGGGGGCAACCCUGAUCCAGCCAUGCCGCGUGAGUGAAGAAGGCCUUCGGGUUGUAAAGCUCUUUCGGCCGGGAAGAAAUCGUAUCAGCUAAUACCUGGUGCGGAUGACGGUACCGGCAUAAGAAGCACCGGCUAACUACGUGCCAGCCGCCGCUGUAUAC
rnacentral:rRNA from 1 species